UACGUAGGAGGCAAGCGUUGUCCGGAUUCAUUGGGCGUAAAGAGCGCGCAGGCGGCUUUUUAAGUCGGAUGUGAAAUCCCGAGGCUCAACCUCGGGUCGGCAUCCGAUACUGCCCGGCUAGAGGUAGGUAGGGGAGAUCGGAAUUCCUGGUGUAGCGGUGAAAUGCGCAGAUAUCAGGAGGAACACCGGUGGCGAAGGCGGAUCUCUGGGCCUUACCUGACGCUCAGGCGCGAAAGCUAGGGGAGCGAACUGG
rnacentral:rRNA from 1 species